rnacentral:rRNA from 1 species
UUAAAAUGUAAAUAAAUAAUUCUAAAUUAGUAAUAGUUAUGUUCUUUAAAGUUAAAGAUUUUGGCGGUAUUUUAGUCUAAUCAGAGGAACCUGUUCUAUAAUUGAUAGUCCACGAUUUACCCAACUUAAUUUAAAUAAUUUGCAUAUCAUCGUAGUUUGAAUAUUUUAAAAGAAUUUUAAUGUUCAUAAUUUUUUAUUAAAAAAUAAAUCAGAUCAAGGUGUAGUUUAUAAUUAAGCAGUAAUGGGUUACAAUAGUUUAAAAUUUUGGAUUAAUAAUUGAAAUUAUUAUGAAAUUGGAUUUGAAUGUAAUUUAAAUUAAAUUAUUUAAAUGAUUUAAGCUCUAAAAUAUGC